UACGUAGGGUGCGAGCGUUGUCCGGAAUUAUUGGGCGUAAAGGGCUCGUAGGCGGUGUGUCGCGUCGGCCGUGAAAACCUGCAGCUUAACUGUGGGCUUGCGGUCGAUACGGGCAUCACUGGAGUUCGGCAGGGGGAGACUGGAAUUCCGAGUGUAGAGGUGAAAUUCGUAGAUAUUCGCAAGAACACCAGUGGCGAAGGCGGCUUACUGGUCCGGUUCUGGACGCUGAGGCGCGAAAGCGUGGGGAGCAACAGG
rnacentral:rRNA from 1 species